CGCGACCCUAGGUCCGACGGGGUUACCCGCUGAAUUUAAGCAUAUCAAUAAGCGGAGGAAAAGAAACUUACAAGGAUUCCCUUAGUGACAGCAAGCGAACUGGGAAUAUCCCAGCUUGAGAAUCGAUGGUGUUCCACCUUCGAAUUGUAUUCUGGAGAAGCGUCCUCAGGGGCGGACCGGGAACAAGUCCCAUGGAAGGGGGCGCCAGAGAGGGUGAGAGCCCCGUUGUGCCCAGACUUUGUCGCACAACGAGGCACUGUCGAUGAGUUGGGUUGUUUGGGAAUGCAUCCCUAAUAGGGCGGUAAAUUCCGUCCAAGGCUAAAUACUGGCGAGAGACCGAUAACAAACAAGUACCGCGAGGGAAAGAUGAAAAGGACUUUGAAAAGAGAGUCAAAAAGUGCUUCAAAUUGUCGGGAGGGAAGCGGAUGGGGGCUAGCGAUACGCCCCGGUCAGAUGUAGAAUGGUCACAAGCCGGUCCGCCACUCGACUCGGGGCGUGGACCGUUGUGGAUUGUGACGACGACCAAAGCUCGAGCUAUUAAUAUGCCCAUGGAGACAUUGUUGACGCGAUCAUGGUAGGCAGCACUCACCGUCUUGGCGUGCUUUAGCAUCUGUGUGCUCAUGGCAACGGCUUGCGGGCUCCUCAUUCGGCCUGUCUUGAAACACGGACAAAAGAGUCUGAUAUGUGUGCGAGUCAACGGGCGAUUAAACCCGUAAGGCCCAAGGAAGCUAAUGUGCAGAAUCCCUUUGCGAGUGCACCGCUGACUGACCUUGAUCUUCUGAGAAGGGUUCGAGUAUGAGCAUGGCUGUCGGGACCCGAAAGAUGGUGAACCAUGCCUGAGCGGGGCGAAGCCAGAGGAAACUCUGGUGGAGGCCGCAGCGAUCCUGACAUGCAAAUCGAUCGUCUGACUUGGGUUUAGGGGUGAAGGACUAAUCGAACCGUCUAGUAGUCGGUUCCCUCCGAAGUUUUCCUCAGGGUAGCUAGAGCCCCUGAACGAGUUUUAUCGGGUAAAGCCAAUGAUUAGAGGCAUCAGGGGCGCAACGCCUUUGACCUAUUCUCAAACUUUAAAUAGGUAAGACGACGCAUCUGCUUUGUUGAGCCGUGCCAUGGAAUCGAGAGCUCCAAGUGGGCCAUUUUUGGUAAGCAGAACUGGUGAUGCGGGAUGAAGUCGGGUUACGGUGCCCAACUGCGCGCUAACCUAGAACCCACAAAGGGUGUUGGUCUAUUAAGAUAGCAGGACAGUGGUCAUGGAAGUCGAAAUCCGCUAAGGAGUGUGUAACAACUCACAUGCCGAAUCAACUAGCCCAAAAAAUGGAUGGCACUUGAGCGCGCGACCUAUACCCGGCCGUCAGGGCAAGUGCCAUGCCUCGAUGAGUAGGAGGGCACGGCGGUCGCUGCAAAACCUAGGGCGUGAGCCCGGGCGGAGCGCCCAUCGGUGCAGAUCUUGGUGGUAGUAGCAAAUAUUUAAAUGAGAACUUUGAAGUCCGAAUAGGGGAAAGGUUCCAUGUGAACGGCACUUGCACAUGGGUUAGUCAAUCCUAAGAGACUAGGUAACCCGUCUGAUAGCGCGUCUCAAGCGAACUUCGAAAGGGAAUCGGGUUAAAAUUCCUAAAUCAGGACGUGGUGGUUAACGUCAAUGUUAGAGAGUCCAGAGACAUCGGUGGGGGACUCGGGAAGAGUUAUCUUUUCUGUUUAACAGUCUGCCCACCCUGGAAAUGGCUCAGCCAGAGGUAGGAUCCAGCGGCUGGAAGAGCAAUGCACGUCACGUGAUGUCUGGUGCGCCCCCGGCGGCCCUUGAAAAUUCGGAGGACCGAGUGCCAUUCACGCCCGGUCGUACUCAUAACCGCAUUAGGUCUCCAAGGUGAACAACCUCUGGUCAAUGGAACAAUGUAGGUAAGGGAAGUUGGCAAAAUGGAUCUAUAACCUCGCGAAAAGGAUUAGCUCUAAGGGCUGGGCAAAGGGGUCCCAGUCCCAAACCCGUCGGUUGUCGACGAAUUGCUCGAGCUGCUUCCGCGGCAAGAGCGGGUUGUCGCGUGCCAGUCGGGGGACGGACUGGAAACGCUCCUUCGGGAGCUUUCUCCGGGUGUUAAAUAGUCGACUCAGAACUGGUACGGGCAAGGGGAAUCUGAAUGUUUAAUUAAAACAAAGUAUUUCGAUGGUCCCUGUGGAUGUUAACGCAAUGUGAUUUCUGCCCAGUGCUCUGAAUGUCAAAGUGAAGAAAUUCAACCAAGCGCGGGUAAACAGCGGGAGUAACUAUGACUCUCUUAAGGUAGCCAAAUUCCUCGUCAUCUAAUUAGUGAGGCGUAUGAAUGGAUUAACGAGAUUCCCACUAUCCAUGUCUACUAUCCAGCGAAACCCGACUAAUUACAAACUUAAUCAAAUUCUGAAUUCAGUUCCUUGAAUUCCUCCACUGUAAAUCAAUUUUAGAAUCGCAACAUAAAUUUCAAACAUCGAGUGACUCGAAUUUAAAUCGAUAAUCAUAUCGUCCUUUAAUAAUAUCGUAGAAUUAAUUAAUUAUUAUCCGAUUAAACACACGUCUAAAUUAAUCAAGUCAAGAUCCAUUCAAGAACCUCACUAUUGCAUUCGGCAUGAAAUUAUGAGUGGAAUUACAUAACAUUUUGCCAAAAAUUCCAACCUUGCCGGAGCUCCACAUCACAAGGCGCGUGAGGCCAUGCACCACUACUGACAGCGACCGGAAUCCCAUCUGAGAGCUCUCUUAAUGCUGGAGGUUUUCAACAAAUUAGAAAGUCUUAUAUA
rnacentral:rRNA from 1 species